rnacentral:rRNA from 1 species
GACGAACGCUGGCGGCGUGCUUAACACAUGCAAGUCGAACGGAAAGGCGCUGCUUUUGUGGGGUGCUCGAGUGGCGAACAGGUGAGUGACACGUGUGUAACCUGCCCUUGUCUGUGUGAUAUCUUCAGGAAACUGGGGCUAAUACCGGAUAGGAGCUCCUGCUGCAUGGUGGGGGAUGGAAAGAUUCGGCGGUUGGGGAUGGACUCGAGGCUUAUCAGCUUGUUGGUGGGGUAGUGGCUUACCAAGUCUAUGACGGGUAGCCGGCCUGAGAGGGUGACCGGCCACAUUGGGACUGAGAGACGGCCCAGACUCCUAUCGGAGGCAGCAGUGGGGAAUAUUGCACAAUGGGCGGAAGCGUGAUGCAGCAAUGCCGCGUGCGGGAUGCCGGCCUUCGGGUUGUAAACAGCUUUCGACUGUGACGAAGCGUGAUUGACGGUAAUGGGUAAAGAAGCACCGGCUAACUACGUG